rnacentral:misc_RNA from 1 species
GUAGGUGAACCUGCGGAAGGAUCAUUAUUGAAUGAACUUGGUAUGAUUGUUGCUGGUUCUUAUAGGACAUGUGCACGUCUGCCAUCUUUAUAUCUCCACCUGUGCACACAUUGUAGGUCUGGAAUAACUCUCUGAGGAAACUCAGUUGUUAGGAUUGCUUCUGCAAAGGAGCUUUUCUUGUGUUUCCAGAUCUAUGUUUUCAUAUACACCAUAAGAAUGUAACAGAAUGUAUUAAUGGGUCUUGUACCUA